rnacentral:rRNA from 1 species
AUGAGUCCCGACAGCCCUGCUCCUUUCCCCUCUUGCUUCUCUUUCUCUCUCGUCUCACAUCUCGUCUCUCUCUCAGGAACCUUUUCUUUGAUCCAUCGCCAUGAAGUGCCACAGGAGCUCCACCGCAAGUCCCAAGCCGCGCGUCGCUACCAGGGAUCCGCCGGACGUGGCCUCUACCCUAGGACCCGUGCCCGUGCCUCGGUUCAGCCGCGCCGCCCUGGGUCCCCGUCAGCGUCGGCCCUCUUGUUCCCGCGCCGGACAGAGGAGCUCGACCCCUUCUUCCCGCUACGUCCUCUGCUUCUUCCUCGAGCCCGCAAGGGAGACGAGCACCCCUGCACCCCGCCGCCUACAGGGACUGCAGCCAUGUCGGCCUCUCACCGGAGUCCUUCUCCUCGCCGCUGCCUCCCUGCAAGCACCGCCGCAUCACCUCCCUGCUUCCUCUUCGCGCUCGUGGCCCACGCCUUCGCCUUGCCGUCGUCCAACCGUGAUGCCGCGCCCCUGCCUUCCUGUUUUCGAAGACGAGCGCUACCGUUCCCCUGCAUUGACUGGUGCCAAGUUUUCCCUACACCUGGAACCGCACGGAUCCGUCGAUGCCUCGACCUGCCACCUCGGAUCCCGGCGACCACAGUUCGCCAUUGCCGCGCCGAGACCCGCUGCCGCCUCCAUCGCCUGCUCGCCGCCAUUCUGCUUCACCCUGCGCCGCCGUCCCAUUCGUCCCCGACGAACUGCAGCUGCCGCUCGGGUCAACGGUUGUGCGCACUUGACCGCACGCGCCUGAUCUACCUCCAAGCCAGGCCUUGGGCCGCCUUCCCACGUCGGCCUGCUCCACGCCUCUGGCCCGCAUGGGCUAUUUCCCCUCCAACGGCCCGUUUUGGCCCAUUGUUGGUUCCGAUAACGUCGUGUUUGUGA